AAUGAACGCUGGCGGCAUGCCUAACACAUGCAAGUCGAGCGACCGCACGGGAAGCUUUCUCUCCUGCUGUUAGCGGGGGACGGGUGAGUAACACAUGGAUAACCUACCUCUAAGACUGGGGUAAUUACGGGGAACCGUAUCUACUACCGGAUAAUAUUUUGAACCGCAUGGUUCAAAAGUGAUAGACGCUCUUGCUGUCACUAAUAGCUGGAUCCGCGCUGCAUUAGCUAGUUGGUAAGGUAACGGCUUACCAAGGCAACGAUGCAUAGCCGACCUGAGAGGGUGAGCGGCCACACUGGAACUGGGACACGGUCCAGACUCCUGCGGGAGGCAGCAGUAGGGAAUCUUCCGCGAUGGGAGAAAGCCUGACGGAGCAACGCCGCGUGAGUGAUGAAGGUAUUCGGAUCGUAAAACUCUGUUAGUAGGGAAGAACAUAUGUGUAAGUAACUGUGCACAUCUUGACGGGACCUAAUCAGAAAGCCACGGCUAACUACGUG
rnacentral:rRNA from 1 species